AUUGAACGCUGGCGGCAGGCUUAACACAUGCAAGUCGAGCGGGGGAAGGUAGCUUGCUACCGGACCUAGCGGCGGACGGGUGAGUAAUGCUUAGGAAUCUGCCUAUUAGUGGGGGACAACAUCUCGAAAGGGAUGCUAAUACCGCAUACGUCCUACGGGAGAAAGCGGGGGAUCUUCGGACCUUGCGCUAAUAGAUGAGCCUAAGUCGGAUUAGCUAGUUGGUGGGGUAAAGGCCUACCAAGGCGACGAUCUGUAGCGGGUCUGAGAGGAUGAUCCGCCACACUGGGACUGAGACACGGCCCAGACUCCUACGGGAGGCGGCAGUGGGGAAUAUUGGACAAUGGGGGGAACCCUGAUCCAGCCAUGCCGCGUGUGUGAAGAAGGCCUUAUGGUUGUAAAGCACUUUAAGCGAGGAGGAGGCUACUCUAGUUAAUACCUAGGGAUAGUGGACGUUACUCGCAGAAUAAGCACCGGCUAACUCUGUGCCAGCCGCCGCCGUAAUAC
rnacentral:rRNA from 1 species